rnacentral:rRNA from 1 species
GAUGAACGCUGGCGGCGUGCCUAAUACAUGCAAGUCGAACGGACGGACCAUAAGCUCGCUUCUCUGAUGUUAGCGACGGGCGGGUGAGUCACGCGUGGAUAACCUUCCUCUAUGACUGGGGUAACUUCGGGAGACCGUAGCUCCUACCGGAUAAUAUUUUGAACGGCAUGGUUCAAAAGUGAUUGACGGUCUUGCUGUCACUUCUAGCUGGCUCCGCGGUGGAUUAGCUAGUUGGUACGGUAACGGCUUACCAAGGCAACGAUGCAUAGCCGAACUGAGAGGGUGAUCGGCCACACUGGAACUGGGACACGGUCCAGACUCCUACGGGAGGCAGCAGUAGGGAAUCGUGCGCAAUGGGCGAAAGCCUGACGGAGCAACGCCGCGUGGGUGAAGAAGGUCUGCGGGUCGUAAAACUCUGUUAUUGGGGAAGAACAUAUGCGGUAGUAACUGUGCGUAUUGUGACGGUACCUAAACAAAAAGCACCGGCUAACUACGUG